rnacentral:lncRNA from 1 species
CACAUGCAAUCGACACAUUUGGCAUCAAUGAACAAUUCGAUCGAGCAUUUACAUGCUCAUAUUGCUCCAAUGCCUAGUUGGUGGUAGUAAUUUACAAACCAUUAGCUUGCUAAUUCACAUUAAUAUAAUAUAUAUGAAUUGUGCGUCCACAAAAGUUUUAUGGCCUGUAACACUGACCCAACAUGCACAACUGCCAUCAUCUAACGAGUCAUUCCUUGGCUCAGGAGGACCGGAGGUCGCCAAAUCAAUUACCUACACCUUGGUUGAUUGAGGCCUGGGCAACCUCGACAUUGGUGAUCGUCGGUACUGCCUCGGGCGCAUCUCUUACUAGGACUGCCUCGUCCGUCGGGUCUUCGUACAUCGUCUUGGAGGCCGACGAGACCCAAACUAUCGGCAUUGCUCCAACCAUGAUUGCCAGGACUCCCCCGGUGUCCGAGUUGCGCCCUCCUCAAUCUAGGAUAUAAGCUUGCAGCUCAUGAAGUGGACACUACCGCAUUUGUCCUAGCUAUGGCAUCACGGUUCCUGCUCCACAGCCCGCACCGUCUGGCAAACUCUGUGUCGAGCCUCCAAUAUCGCCCAAUGGCGAUCCCUAGCUUCUUUCAAGACGACCCUGGCUAACUUACUUGCUUUCUCAUG